GACGAACGCUGGCGGCGUGCUUAACACAUGCAAGUCGAGCGGAAAGGCUCCUUCGGGGGUACUCGAGCGGCGAACGGGUGAGUAACACGUGAGUAAUCUGCCCUCCACUUCGGGAUAGCCACCGGAAACGGUGAUUAAUACCGGAUAUGACCGCUUCUCGCAUGGGAUGGUGGUGGAAAGUUUUUCGGUGGGGGAUGUGCUCGCGGCCUAUCAGCUUGUUGGUGGGGUAAUGGCCUACCAAGGCUUCGACGGGUAGCCGGCCUGAGAGGGUGACCGGUCACACUGGGACUGAGACACGGCCCAGACUCCUACGGGAGGCAGCAGUGGGGAAUAUUGGACAAUGGGCGGAAGCCUGAUCCAGCAACGCCGCGUGAGGGAUGACUGCCUUCGGGUUGUAAACCUCUUUCACCUAUGACGAAGCGAAAGUGACGGUAGUAGGAGAAGAAGCACCGGCCAACUACGUGCCAGCCGCCGCCGUAAUAC
rnacentral:rRNA from 1 species